GCUUACCGGAUCUUCAUCCCCAGAAUGUCAGAGUUGAAAGAGACUUGGAGAGGCCACUUUCCACAAUCCCCACGCCCAACCUCAGCCCCCAGGCCUCCUGGCUCCUGUACACACUCUCUGCUGUCCUUGAGAUGUCAUUUCACUUCAUGUUUCAGUUUACUCAUCUUUGCAGAGUGGGCAGGAUCUUACGACCCGAUAGGUGCAGAACCCAUCUGGACACGGAGACCAGGAAUGGGGUUCCAUGGAGGCCUGGCUGGCACUGCACCUGGGCAUGAGGACACAUCCAGUAAGAAGACCUGCCUCAAGAGGUGCACUGCGGUGACCAGUGGAGGUGACUGGUUGGAGCCUGGAAUUGGAAGCAGAUUCCAAGCUCUGGUGGACAAACUCUCCAGGCCUGGUGGGAAUCACAGCUGGGGCAGACCUCAUCCUGGCUGCCUGGCCACAGGCCCCCACUCUCUGCCACUGGUGGUAGGACGAUGCCUGUGUGGAGAGCUGGCUUCUCUGCUCCCGCCUGGUCCACCACUUGGCUAGAGUUCAGAGACAGGAAGUGAUUGGUCUAAGCUAACACAGCAAGUUGGUGGCAGACCUGGUUCUAGAGGCAAAACCUUCUUCCAGAUGUGAAUGAAACCUGCAGGCUUCAUUUUCCUUUCUGAGCAGUGCUUCUUAGCUCUUUGGAGACACGAAGCCCUUGGAAAAUCUGAUGAAGGUUACGGACCUUCCCUAGGAAAACAGAUAACUGACGUAGACUCAAAAACCCCAAGCAAUUUCAGGAGCCACUGGACUCCCUGAAUGAAACCCAUCCCUGGACUCCAGGCUAAGAACCUCAGCCCUGGGGACUUCACCUGCUGCCCUUUCCUUACCUGUCACACAUUGAGCCCCGAGUCAAGGCCACUGUACAAGUAGUGCCCCUCCCUCCCCCUGGCCAAGCCUCCUUCCCUUGUUCAGGAAUAAAGAAUUCCGAGGAGCCCUUUCUGGUCAUUCCCUUCUCCCAGACCUAACGAAUGGUGCGUCAGGUUUCUGGAGCCUCAUUUCCCUUCCCCAGACAUUGGCAGAGGUCCCUUGGGCUAGAUUUUCUCUUCUGGUUUUGUUUCUUGUUCUGCCUGACUGGCCGCUGGCUUCCACAAAGGAGCCCUUUGCUCCUGGCCUGGGCUCUGAUUUCACUGUGUGGUCUCAGGGGAAGCUGGACUGCUGUGGACGCUGGUGGGAGCUUGAGUCUGGUCUGAGUCUGCCCCAGGGAGAAAGAAUCCUGCUUCCACCAACCAAGCCCAGUCAGCGGUUCCUCCCAACUGGCCAAGUGUUCAGCCCAGUGGGCUGGGGAGGAAGAGGAUGAGGGCCUUGCUCCUGGUGCCUGUGGCUCUGGGCAGGGUGAGAGGUCGGUGGAGGAUCUUUCUGUGUGUUCUCUGAGUAUGCAGCAGUGCAGUUGAAGGGAACAGGGCCCAGGCAGGCAGCAGGGCGAGGACUCCUCCCGUCUUCACACCUGAACCAGUCAGCCUGGAAGCUACAAGUUCUCACCUGCUUCCCCAGAAUGAACAUCAGAAAAGGCAAAACUGACCAGGGCUGGGAUGGGUUUGGGUCAGCUUGGUUGGAGGGCAGCCUGUGGAUCCCUGCACUGGAGUCUUGCUGUCUUCGAUGCAGGUUGGAUCAUACAUUGUUACCUCCUACUGUAUGCCUCACCCUGGAAUAGCAGAAUGCUCAGGGGGAGAUCCGAGAACGAGAAGGUGCUCCCAGCCCCAGGAGCUUCCAGUCUGGCUCUGAUCCUUGGCCGACCUAGAGGAAACCUCCACACAUGCCCCUUUUGUGCUAAUGGUGCAGUUUGUGUCCCCCUCUGCCCAUCACUGUGCUGUGCUUGUUCCUGCCUCUGUGCCUUCCCCUAUACUGCUCGGACAUGUCCCCUUUCCUCUCCUCUACCCAGCUAAGCCCUUCUGAUCCAUGGGGCCUGGCUUCCCAAACCACCCAGCCCACAUUCCUCCUUCCUGCUCUGAACAGGCCCUGUGUGAGCCCCUGCCCCCGAACUGCGUGCUGUCCCAUGGACGCUCCAGUCUCUUCUGUGUGUGUCUUGAGUCCCUAACUAGACAGUUAGCUCCCUGAGGGCAAGGGACUGUCAUUUCCUCUUGAGUCCUACCAGGGUCUAGCACAGGACUGGGCUCCUAACUCUCAGGAAACACUUGUCGGCUGACUGGUGCCUCAAGCGCUGGAGCUUGUCGGUGGCCGGUAAUGGGCAGUGCACGUGGGGAGAGGGUAUGUGAGUUAACUCAAGGGUGCCUUUUCUUGGGCUGUGGGCUGGCUCCCCUGGGUCAAAAGUGGAUGUCGGAGGCCUCAGGCUCUUACCUCCUUGGGGCAGUGGGAGCAUCAGGGACCCCCACCCCCACCCCGGCUCUGCAGGAGUGCACGGAAGUGGUCGUCCAGCCUGGAUAUUUCUACAGGUUGCUGACACCUGCGGGAGCUGACUGAGUGG
rnacentral:lncRNA from 1 species